rnacentral:rRNA from 1 species
GACGGGUGAGUAACGCGUGGGUAACCUGCCUUAUACAGGGGGAUAACAGUCAGAAAUGGCUGCUAAUACCGCAUAAGCGCACAGAGCUGCAUGGCUCAGUGUGAAAAACUCCGGUGGUAUAAGAUGGACCCGCGUUGGAUUAGCUGGUUGGUGGGCUAACGGCCCACCAAAGCGACGAUCAGUAGCCGACCUGAGAGGGUGACCGGCCACAUUGGGACUGAGACACGGCCCAAACUCCUACGGGAGGCAGCAUG